ACUUCUCUUGGUCUCCACUCAGGCUUGUGUUCUUUCUUUUCUCAAUCCUCACUCUCCAACUCAGGCUGUUUUGUGUUGUGAUGGCUGAACCACCACACUUGAGUCCCUUUUUCCCCAUAUCUUUUUCCCUUCAUCCUUUUCCCCAUUCCUGCUACCACCCUGUGAUCUUCAGUAAAUGUAUCUACCUACUACAUACUAUGAGGUAGAAGCCUGGCAGUUCCUUCCUGGUUGAACACAAGAAACUGAGCUACUUUUGUACCACUGAACUGUAACAUCCAGUGAGCUGAGUCAGCAGGACUUUUCCAAACUCUAAACCACAAGCCAAGGGACUUUAUUGCACAGUGGCCCAGAAACCUCACCAGUAAUCAAAGGCAUCAGCAACUCAAAGACCUUUGGAGAUCUCAGCAGAUGCAGACAACCAGAAACCCAGCCGGCAAGGAAGAUGAGAAGAACCCCAUCUAUUCCUUCUGAGUCCCUGCCCCGAUGUCUUCUACCAAUGGGAUAAGUUCCACACUAAGACCCUUCAAAGAGAGUGCCCUAUAUCACCGUGUAACAACAAAAGCUUGUGUAUCCUCUUGGGGAAAAUGAGACAUGUCUACAGGAUCCAGUUCAGGACACUACAUUGCAAGGAGCCCUUACAGAAACAGUGCUGGAGGAAGCACAGCCCCUCAGAAACCCGGCUACACUUGGGUAGAAGACCGAAUCGAAAUGCUUAACUAUCAUCAUGUAGUAACAUCGAAUCAAAAUGGAUGGAAAACUAACUCUGAAAACAGAAAUCCUUAAUCUGCUGGUGGUAGAAUAGGCAAAACUUCUAAGGAUACAGGCGAGGCCAGGACCUUCUUGCAGAAUGCCAAUUGCAAAAGAAUAUCAUGAAGAAUCAACAGAUGGGAUCAUAUCAAAUUAAAAAGGUUCUGCCCACUAAGGGAAACAACCCACUAGGGAAGAGACAACUUACAGAAGGAGAAAGUGUUUUUGUGAGGUAUUCCUUGGAGAGAAGGCUAAUAUUGAGAAAUAGAUAAAGAAUAUCAAAAGAUUAAACCGGAAAAGAUUAAAGAAUUGAAAAAUGGGGAAUUGGAACAAAUACACACUUCUCAGGAGUACAGAUCGACAACAAAUGUAUGAAAAAAAAU